CCUGAUCGUCUAAUGAAGUUGAAGGAGCGCAGCGAUUUCCAUUAGCGUCGAAAUUGCAAAGAAGUUCAUUAAAGUAAGUGAAGAAGUAAAAUGUUGCAUAGGAUCUGCCUUCUCAAAGAUGCCAUACUCGUAGUUGCAAAGAACAGAUAAAGCUAGAAGUGAUCUACAUUAUCUUACAAAAAAGCCAGAUUACUCUGACCACAUGGAAUUACAGUAUCACACAAGCCAACAGCCACUCUGCGAAGCAUCAUUUCAAAACCAAAGGAACAACUCAAGAACGAAGAUAGAAUGAAGGUGAUCUACAAAAUCAACUGCAACAAAUACUACGUUGGCCAAAACAGAAGAAAAUGAUCAGCUCAGCUCCAUGAACACAAGCUGGCCAUCA
rnacentral:lncRNA from 1 species